rnacentral:lncRNA from 1 species
AUGUCUUUGACAGUAUAUAGAGAAAUAUAUAAAGGAUAUGUUAAUCAGUACAGAGUUCUAGCCAAGGACAGCCAGGUAGAUGAGCCCAAUUUGUUCUCUUCUGUACAGUUUUGCAUUUCUAUCUUUGUCUAUUUGUAUUUAUGUGUUUCAUUUUCAUGCUGUGUAUUUUGGCACUUUACUCUGUAUCCUGACUGCAUCCAACCUAAGAAGGAGACUACACAUGUAGCACAGGGAACAUAUUGUAAUCAUGACAUGACAAUGGCCAAUUCAGCAGCUACUUCUCUAAAAGGUGAAUCUCAGAAGCAAGCACAGAAACCUAAAAUAUGAAGAAUUCACUGGAAGACGAUGAGGCUUUCUAUGGGCAAAGCCAAUGUCUGCCUAGGAUAGAUGAUCUGGAGAUGUCUAUCUGUCUCAGUUCAGCCCCUUCAUCAGACUAAACGUAGCAAAAAAGGUCAGACUUAUAACUUGUAAAAAGUCACCUGUGGGUGAAAUAUUCUUUCCAUAUACCAUGAAUACUGGCCUUGGUGGUAUACACCUGAAAUCCUAUGACUAAAAGGAGCAAAGCAGUAGGAUUACAGCCUAGCCUGGGUUGCAUAAGAACCUGUCUAAAAAAUGGUUAAUAUGUAUUACUCUUACUUAUAUUUGCUGUUUUUUCUUUGGAAUAUCCCUGGAUCUCUGAACCCCAUUUGGCUCAACGUCAUGUCUUUAACUCAACCGAGCAACAUCUUUGGACACUUGAAUCUGGAUUUCCCUCAGGCUUGGAUUUUGGUGUCCACUAUGUAGACCUUCACACUGUAAUUACAGCAUCUUCUGUGACCAUGAAGAUUAGUUGGCAUGGAGGAAGUUUCCAGUUCAUCUCCACAGGUUGAUUCCUCUAUGAUCUGUGACCAACAUCUGUAGUGUCUUCAACAGCAGGGUCUUACCAUCAAGUUCUGCGAGACAGCACCUGGCAGUACCCCCAUACUACUUCAAAGAAGAUGAUGAACAUCAAAGCGUAUCCAUGUGGAAUUUGCUUCAAAUGUGGGAAAGCUAGCCACUGGGCAGAAAACUGCCCUUGCCUAGACUGCUGGCAGCAUGAUGUCCAAACCAUGGGCAAGCAGGACAUGGAUGAAAUCAACUGCCAAACUUUGCCAAGACAGAUUACCAUGGAUUAAAGCUGGACAACUGAAACAACAGAAAGCCCAUGGAAACUAAACAACUCUCUACUCAAUGAUCACCAGACAGGAACCUAGCAUCACUGUCAUCUGAGAGGCUCUACCCAGAAGCCAAUGGAAAAAGAUGCAAAGACUCAUACCCAAACAUUAGGUGGAGCUCAGGGAGUCAUAUGGAAGAGUUGAGAGAAGGGUUGAGGAAUCCGAAGAGAAAAGGAAUACUACAGGAAGACCAACAGAGUCAACUAACAUGGACCCUUGGAAGCUCCCAGAGAACAAAUCACCAACCAAAGAAUAUACACAGGAUGGAUGUAGGCCCUCUGCACAUAUGUAAAAGCAGCUUCUUUAACCUUCCUGUGUAGACUGCAGACCAGAAGUUCACCAAGAAUCAUCAAGACCUUCAGCAGCAUAUUGAAAUUGCUACAAUAUCCUGCUUCUUGGACUAAGCCACUGUUGAGUUCUCAGUUUCUUUAACAUGCAGACAGCCAUUGUUAGACUACUCAACUCCUGAUAUGAAAUGUAUUCCAGUACACACACACAUACACACACGAACAUUCUAUCUGUUCCGC